rnacentral:rRNA from 1 species
UACGUAGGGUGCAAGCGUUUAAUCGGAAUUACUGGGCGUAAAGCGUGCGCAGGCGGUUUUGUAAGUCUGUCGUGAAAGCCCCCGGGCUCAACCUGGGAAUUGCGAUGGAGACUGCAAGGCUUGAAUCUGGCAGAGGGGGGUAGAAUUCCACGUGUAGCAGUGAAAUGCGUAGAGAUGUGGAGGAACACCGAUGGCGAAGGCAGCCCCCCUGGGUCAAGAUUGACGCUCAUGCACGAAAGCGUGGGGGAGCAAACAGG